rnacentral:rRNA from 1 species
UAGGGAAUAUUGGACAAUGGGGGCAACCCUGAUCCAGCCAUGCCGCGUGAGUGAAGAAGGCCCUCGGGUUGUAAAGCUCUUUUGUCCGGAAAGAAAAGCUUCGGGUUAAUACCCCGGGGUUCUGACGGUACUGGAAGAAUAAGCGCCGGCUAACUUCGUGCCAGCAGCCGCGGUAAUACGAAGGGUGCAAGCGUUACUCGGAAUUACUGGGCGUAAAGCGUGCGUAGGUGGUUGUUUAAGUCUGAUGUGAAAGCCCUGGGCUCAACCUGGGAAUGGCAUUGGAAACUGGGCAGCUAGAGUGCGGUAGAGGGUAGUGGAAUGCCCGGUGUAGCAGUGAAAUGCGUAGAGAUCGGGAGGAACAUCUGUGGCGAAGGCGACUGCCUGGACCAGCACUGACACUGAGGCACGAAAGCGUGGGGAGCAAACA